UGCCCGCUAGACAUGUACACCUUACAAUCAUUCCAUACAACAAAUAUAGUAAACCUAUUGCAUAAAGUAUGAGAAAAACAGACCAAAACACAAAAACUUAACUAUAACCACUGAACAAUGAAAAUGAGGUCAAGGUCAGAUGACACCUGCCAGUUGGACAUGUACACCUUACAGUCCUUCCAUACACCUAAUAUACUAGACCUAUUGCUUAUAGUAUCUGAGAUAUGGACUUGACCACCAAAACUUAACCAUGUUCACUGAUCCAUGAAAUGAGGUCGAGGUCAAGUGAAAACUGUCUGACGGGCAUGAGAACCUUGCAAGGUACGCACAUACUAAAUAUAGUUAUCCUAUUACUUACAGUAAGAGAGAAUUUAACAU
rnacentral:lncRNA from 1 species